CCUACGGGAGGCAGCAGUGGGGAAUAUUGCACAAUGGGCGAAAGCCUGAUGCAGCAACGCCGCGUGAGGGACGACGGCCUUCGGGUUGUAAACCUCUUUUAGCAGGGAAGAAGCGCAAGUGACGGUACCUGCAGAAAAAGCACCGGCUAACUACGUGCCAGCAGCCGCGGUAAUACGUAGGGUGCAAGCGUUGUCCGGAAUUAUUGGGCGUAAAGAGCUCGUAGGCGGUUUGUCGCGUCUGCUGUGAAAACGCAAGGCUCAACCUUGCGCCUGCAGUGGGUACGGGCAGACUAGAGUGCGGUAGGGGAGAUUGGAAUUCCUGGUGUAGCGGUGGAAUGCGCAGAUAUCAGGAGGAACACCGAUGGCGAAGGCAGAUCUCUGGGCCGUUACUGACGCUGAGGAGCGAAAGCGUGGGGAGCGAACAGGAUUAGAUACCCUGGUAGUCCACGCCGUAAACGUUGGGAACUAGAUGUGGGGUCCAUUCCACGGAUUCCGUGUCGCAGCUAACGCAUUAAGUUCCCCGCCUGGGGAGGUACGGCCGCGAGACGUAAACUUAAAGUAAGUAGUACGACGNGAGAGAGCGACGACGACGACGAGGAGGAGAG
rnacentral:rRNA from 1 species